GCCAGGCAUGAUGGUGCAUGCCUGUAAUCCCAAUGGCUCCAGAGGCUGAGGCAGGAGGAUCGUGAGCUUAAAGCCAGCCUCAGCAAUGGUGAGGUGCUAAGCAACUCAAUGAGACCCUGUCUUUA
rnacentral:sRNA from 1 species